UCAAAUCCGAGGUCAUUUACAUAUAGGUCCAUAUCCGGUCCACGUUUCUAACUUAAUAUUUUUCAAUUAUGAGAGUAAGUGUCUCAUUUCAUUCCGAAUUCCUUCCGGACCCGAACCAACUAACUCGAUACGUCAUAAAUCAAUUGCAAGGCAUAAAUUGAGCAAUAAAUAGGGGAACGGGGUUAUAAUAUUCAAAAUAACCGGCCGGGUAGUUACACUUUGUUUCAAAUAUUUGGGUCUCCGCAUUCCAAUCUUGUAUACCAUAUUCUCAAAAGUUGAAGUUGGCAAAGUGAACAAAUCUACUGGAUUAUCACUUGAACGGAUUUGUUGCACAUCGAUAUCACUAUUUUUCUGAGGAUUAUGUGUGUAAAAUAAUUUUGGUGAAAUGUGCUUCGUUCUAUCUCCUUUUAUAAAUCAUCCCUUUAAUUGGGCUAUGCAUGUAGCAUUGUAUUCGUAUAAUAUUGUGAAUUUUUUAGCACAUUCCAACCCACAUUUUUCUCGAAUAAAAUGAAUCAUUGAUCUCAACCAUACGCAUUCCCUACUUGCUUCAUGAAAAAACUAUUAUCUCAGCAUGAUUUGAAGAAGUAGCAAUAACAUAUUGCUUUGUGAAGCACCAUAAUAUGACAGUACCUCUACAUGUAAAUACAUACCCGAUUUGAGAUCGAACUUUAUGGGGAUCGGAUAAAUAACCUGCAUCUGCACAACCAAUAUGAUAUGCACCACCUUUGUUAGCAUUAGCAAGAUACAUAAGUGCACCAAUUGCACUGAGAUAGAGUAUUUCAGAACCAAUGAAUUCCUCAUCCUUUUCUGGAGGUCGGAACGGAUCCUUAUUCACUUCAUGUGAUCGAAUACCCAUUUGGUAUACUUAAUGGGUGUGCUUUGUCCAUGUAAAAGCGUUUUAAUACCUUUUCUGUAUAGACAGGUUGAUGGAUAAAGAUCUGGUCUGCUAAAUAUUCAAUUUGCAAACUAAGACAAAGUUUUUCCCUUUGGAGCUCUUCUAGAGUUCCUAUGAGAUUUAUGUCAUUAACAUAAACAACAAGUAUAAUAAACUAUGAUGUUGUUUUCUUUGUAAAAACGCAUGGACAAAUGCCAUCAUUUAUAUAACCUUCAUCCAUCAAUUCAGUGAGGCGAUUAUACCACAUGCGCCCUGAUUGUUUUAAAUCAUACAAAAAAAAUUGUAAUCUGAUUGAGUACAUUUCUCGAGAUUUUGAAUUAUAUGCUUUAAGCAUUUUAAAUCCUUCAGGGAUCUUUAUACAAAUUUGAUCAAAUGAGUCAUAUAGGUUAUGACUUUCAUCUAAAUGACAUGACAUCUUCAGGUGUCUGGACUACAUGUCUGAUCCUCACAAUCUUUUAUAAUAUUGUGCAUCAUAUUAUAUCAAAUAUAUCAUCGACGAUCAUUUUGUAUCGGUUCGCAAGUGCACAUAAUUUGUUGAUAUCUCAUCACUUUCUUUAUUUUCAGGUACCUGAACUUCUUAUGGAGUUUCAUGAAAUGUUAUGUAGUGGGCUCUUCUAGACCUCAUUUCCUCCUUAUUAUGAUCAUUUUGAUCAUUUGCUCCUAUCCUUUUUAAGGAUUGUUACCUUUGGAACUGAUCGGUUUACUACGCUUCAUGCGUGCAGUAAACUUUAUCUUUCAGGGACUUUAAUUUUAAUAGGAGCAUUUGCAGCUGAAUAUGAUAUUUAAUUUUGGAUCAGCAAAUGCUUCUGGCAUUUGACUUGAAUUAUGUUCUAAGUAAGGAUCAUAUUAAUGAUAAUUCGAUUCAUAUAACAUAUUUUUCAGUUGUUUAUUCCAUUCCCCAAAUGUUAGAAAAACUAACUCAUAUCCUCAAUCUUCUUUGGGAAACCUAUCUUUGUGCAUUGUGAUAGAGAAAUUAAUCAUAUACCACACAUCAAAAGUUAUUAGACAGUAAAAAUAUUUGAUUUCUGAUCCUAAACCAAUUUGAGGGGAGGACUUAUCAUAUUUUGUUGGUCUGAUGCAUACAAGUGCUGCUGUAUGCAAUUUAGAAAAUCUUAGACCAACACAUGAGGCUUUGUUCUCAUCAGCAAUAAUUUAGCUAUUAAUAGGAGGUAUUCAAUGCUAAACUAGCUUGGAUAUAAACCAACAUCAUUAAGAUGAACUAUCUUGAUUUCAUAAUCUGAAAAUUAUGCUCUUAAUUGAGAAAUACAAUUUCAAAUGCCAAACUGCAAGUUGACAAUAAAUACACAUGUAACCAUCUUAUAUAUGCAUCUAUAAGUGGUUCACAUGCUAGGUGAAUGGGCCCAUAUUCACCUUUUAUAUAUUCCAGAAUUCAGGGGUUUUAGUCCCAACUUUAGCUGGUAUAAUCAAUUUAUUAUGAGAACAAGCAACACAAGAGUAUUCUUGAAGAAUCUUCUAGUUCUUCAGUAUAUGCUUAUCUGAAUUCUCAGAUAGCUCAUUUAAAAAUGACAAAUGAAAACUUCAAGUUUAUCAUGGCAUGUGCUAUCUCUAAGUAGACUUCUGGUUUACUAUGGCAUAAAAUUUUGCAUCAGUAAACUUUUGAUUUACUAUGGCUACUUUUGUAUCAGUAAAUUUCUGGCUUAUAGUAGCUACUUUUGCCUUAGUACAACUUCUGGUUAUUGUGACUGUUUUUGCAUUAGUAAACUUCUGAUUUAAUAUGACACAUGAUAUAGUACAAAUUGAAGAAUAAGGCGGGUAACUUCUUACAUACAUAUUAUUUUACUCCCUAUGAUUGUGGAAACAUGAAUAUUUUCAAUCUUCCAAUUAUUUGUGGUCUCAAUAUGAUAGCCAUUUGUAUUAGUAAACUUCAGCUUUACUACAUCAUAUGUUUUGACCAUAAUCAUAUAAUAUGAAUGGCAUAUUUGUAUAUAAGCUCUUUGAGAGCCUUCAUUUAUUAUCCACAAUCUAAUAUUUAUCAGACACUACUGGUGUCAUAUGUCUUUUAGACAAACAGUUAGCUCUUCAGGAGUUGUUGAUACAUUUUGUACUAUCAAAUAUUGCUCAGACACUUCUGGUAUCAUGAGAGAAAUUCAUAAUCAAAUAAACAAUAUAAAAUAAUUAUUUAAGCACAAGAAAACACCUCUUCAUAAUAUUUUCCUACUUCAAGAGGAAAUUUCAAUUGUGUUACUUCUUUUGGAGCAAAUUUAAAAUACGAAAUAUCGAGUAUAUAUUCUGUCAAUCAUAUUAACUCUUCUGGAGGUAAAUUGUAAUAUAUUUACAUCAAGAGCGCGUUCAUAUUUACGAAUUUAUUAAUAUUAUCACAUUCACUUCAGGGAAUGAAUUAAUAUUUAUCAAAANNNNNNNNNNNNNNNNNNNNNNNNNNNNNNNNNNNNNNNNNNNNNNNUUCAGGAGCAAAUCGAGGCAUGCAUGUAAUAUAGAGAAUAUUUCUCUAGCUUAUCUUCAAUUGUAACCAUAGAAAGCCAAAAUUAUCACUUUUGGUGGUCAUAGGCAUAUACCACUUCUGGUGGUUAACAAAAUUUAGUUACAAUGAGAUAUACGAAACAUAACCACUUCUAGUGGUUGUAUAUUUCUUGCAAACUCUGCUGGAGUUUAAGUGGAUCUAACAAUGUUAUCCACUUUGUAUUUCUUUAUUAAGAUAGUUAGGAUGAAAAUAAAUACCAAAAUAGGUAAUGUAUACGUAACAUAUAACCAAACAAACGAUGAUAAAGAUAUUAAAAUAUAAGUAAAAGGCUCAAAUUAAAUUACGCAAAUUUGGCCACUCCAGAUGUAAGUGAUAUCUGCAUCACUACUGCCAAGAAGAAACACUCACCACCUCAAGGAUAUAAUUUGUCUUAUGAUGCUCGGAAUGAACAAGAUCUAACCACGGACAUAAGAGUGUCGCCUUACAUUGGAGAUGAACACGCCUCAAGGAUAUAAUUUGCCUUAUGAUGCUCGGAAAGAACAAGAUCUAACCACGGACAUAAGAGUGUCGCCUUACAUCGGAGAUGAACACUAAAAUAGAAAUUAAAUUCGAAGUAAGUGCUCAAAACGACAGAGUCUCGUACUGAUAACGUGUUAUAAAAUAAAGACUAUACAGUAAAUAAAUCGAAGACAAGUAUAGAGAGAGAUUGAUAUUUUUAUUCAACUUCAAACUGAUGUACAUAAUGAACUGAAAACUCCUUUAUUUAUAGAUGAAAGGAAGCAGCUACGAGACUUUUCAGGAAGCAACUGCGAGGCUUUUCUUGAGCUGCUUGUAAGUUGUGUGCAUGAGUUGCUUGCAACCUGCCUGUUUAAUAAGAAACUGCUGCAAAUCAUUUCAUUGAGUUGCUUGCAACCUGCCUGCAUCAGCUGCUUGUAGAUAAACUUCAAUAGAGUGCCAAACGGAUAAUUUUCUUCAAGAAGAUUAUCUAUAGCGGAGUAAUAAAUAGACAUCCACAUUAUAAUUAUUUUCAUAACACAAACAAUAUUUUCCGAUAAUUAUUUUCCCACCCAAAAGAUUUUCAAAUCAUUUUGAAUAGUUGACAGAGGCGAUAAAUUUAGUAACGGCAUAUCUUGGAUAAUUCUUUAUAGGCAGUUGGCAUGGCCAUAUAGAGUGAAGGGUGUUCAUUUCAAGUCCCUGAUUGAAAAAUAAUAUUGAGUAUAUAGAAAAUCAUAUUAUGCAUAUAAGUCAAAAGUUAUUUUUUAUAAAUUUCUGUCUCCGUCACUAUUUAUAUAAAUUUAUGAAUUGUGUUCUUACAUAAUUACUUGAUACUUAUCAAUACGUGAUAUAUCAUAUUUUUCAAAUGUGAUUUACAUGUUAGUAAUAAUUAAGACACUUCUUGGAAUAUGACGGAAUAGGAAAAGAGAAAUAAUAUUUACAACUAAAAGAUAAAGUUAAAAUUACAAAUUUUCAUAAAAAUCUUUCAUUUGAUGUACCAUAUGAAUAAGUUAAUAGCAAUUUGUAAUUUUAAAAUAUAGGUGUGAUCAUACAAUUAUUAUUUUAUGGGACAAUUUUGCUUAGAAUGACGGUGAAAUAAACAAAUCCUUGGUUUUGUGAUGUUAGAGUCCCAAUUUACAAAAUAUUACGCCAACAAAUUUAUGUGCUUAUAUCAUAUUUUAUGGCUAAUUAGCAUGACACAAUUUUCUGUACAUUUAUGUUUUGUAAUGACUAAAUGUACAGGAUUAAUUAAUAUUUAAUAUUAGAUUAUGUCUACCGUAAUGUGUCUUCUCAUAUGGCCAACUUUAAGUUGUACUUUUAAGUAUAUUAAUUUCAACAACUAGACUUUUGGUCACAAGAAAGCAACCUAAACAGAUGAAAUAAAAACAUCAUUAUUAUCGUCUAUAAAAAAAAUAUUAUGUGACAUACGUUUCAUUACAUAUUUGUACUUUAUAAAAUCAAGAUAAGUAAGAUUAUAUGUAUCUAAUCAAAUUAUAAUUAUUCAUUGCGUAUGUUCAAACGAUAUCCAAUCAUGUUUACUUCGAUAAAUAAGUCACCGAUGCACAUUCACAGAAUCUUGUAUUUUUUUCUUUCAAGUAUAAUUAAUUAUUCUAAAUUUUAUUUUAACAAUAUAUUGAGAUUAUUUUAUACAUCAAAGUUAGUAUGACUUGUCAUACACGUGCAGCGCACAUGCUGAGAAACUAGUGCAAUAUAAAUACAUAAAAAAUGAAUCUAUCAAUUUCUUCCUUAAAGGAAGCUCACACUAGUUCACAUGAAUCUUGUCAAAUUUAACAGUUACUAAAUACUAUAGGGUCGUUUGGUAUGCAGGAUAAGGUGAGAUAAUGUGGGAUAAAGUGUGGUACUAAAUUUAUACUAUGUUUGGUUGGUGGUAUAAAUUUAUACCACCAACCAAACAUAGUACUGUAAACUUUGUCCCAAACUUAAUCCUGGAUAUCCCAUUUUAUCCCACCUUAUCCCAUCAAACCUGGUAUUAUUUUAUCUCACCUUUUAGGUGGGAUAAAUUAUUUCAGAAAUUAUAAUCCGAGGAUUAUAAUCAAGGAAUACUUUAAUUCGCGUACCAAACGACCCUGUAUGUACAAGAUUUAUUAGAAGCAAAGUUAUGUAGAUUCAUUCCAAAAAACAAUAUUCGACUAUUUCCCUUUUAGCCAAAAAAUAAAUAAAUAAAAGUAAUACUCCUUCCGUUUUAAAUUAGUUGAUAUUAUUCUGUUUCAAAAUAAAUGACACACUUUUAAAUUUAAAAAUAAUUCAAUUAUUUUUUAUUAAUUUUAGCCAAAAAAAAUUUUAUCCGUUAAACUACCACAAGUUUCUUAAACUCCGUCUCGAAACCAAAGUACUUAAUUCACCACAUUCUUAAAGUGACUAAUACUCGAGUGCUAUUCCCUGCAUCUCGCCCUUGAAAAUUUCUACGGAUUUGCUAGAAAAACCGGCCGUUGCCCACCCAAUUUGAGGGAAUUCAGUAAUUAAUUAAGUACAACUUCCAGUUUUAUUUUAUUUUGAUGUUUAGAGGACGCAUAGUUUACCAAGGUCGCGAAGUAACCUCAGCAAUGGCGACAAGUGCUUCUGUGCUUGGUAAUCUUUCUCGCUUAUUUAUCGACUUGCAGUUGGUUAUUUCAAACAUAUUAAAUUUGCCAAAUAUAAAAAUAUCUGAUAUUCGACUCACAAAAAGUAGGGGCUUUCUGAUAAUUGAAGUUAUUGAUCAUCAAGUUGUGAUUUUUUCUACACCAGUUCUUUUUCAAUUUGUUCAUUGUGCUCCUUUGGGGAUAUGUUAUCUGCUACAGAAUAAAGGUUAAGAUUAUCUCUUACCUCUUGAGGUUCGACUAAUGAUUUCAUCAGUUGGCCAUGAGGAAAUAGUUAGCGGUUGUUCAUCACAAGUUGGACUCUGGUCUCUGUUUGUUUGUUGGGGAUUUCUUUUAAUUAUAUUUUCUUCUUCUUUUUGGUAUAUAUCAAGAUGUGCAUUCUUAACGUUUUAUAUAAAAGGGUCAUUAGUUUUCCAUUUUUCCUCCUUUAAGUAAUGAAUUGGUCGGAAGGGAAUCAUAACAAGCAUGUAAAUGAAAUUGCUUUCACUAUACUUAGUGUUGGCAUCAGAAAGCUUGAUAAAGCUUGGAGUAUUAAAAAUGGUUCUCCGAUGUUACGCAAUCCAGAACCAUUAUUUCUUGCAGAUACAAGAAAAGAAGUACAAGAUAGGCAAACGAAAUACAUGAGUAUUCAAUAAGAAGUCAUCCUUCUUUAUUUUCUUGCAGAUGCUCUUUGUUUUCCUCCUGUCUUUUAAUUGAUGCUGUCCACAGAAAGGAAAAGAAAAAGCGGAAAAAGAUUUUAAGUCAGAAAAGAAAUUUUUUAAUAGUGAAUUAAACUUUUGUCUAAAUGCAUAAAAAGAGUAACUUACAUAUCACAGUUAACAGUUCUGGAGACAGGGGUAUCCAUAGUGACACCACACUUGGUGGGAAGAGCUUGAGCUGCAUCGUCUUUAAGGUUCGCGUACCUAUUAGCAGCAGCCUUGACACAAUUGCAAGCUGUCCUUUUGUCAGCUGUGGUUUGAGCCAAUUCUUUUAGGCUUUUCACCCCACUGCAGCAAGCUGAACUUGGAUCACCGCCCUGAGUAAGGUAAGGGAUACAUGGUGCUAAAGAAGCGUCCACUUGACCACAGGUAAGAGCUUGUCCUGGCUCAAACAUGAGCUGAAUCAUGGCCAACACUGCAAUGGCAAUGAUGAUUCCCUUCAUCUUUUCUUCAGUUUUUGUGUAAGAAAAAAGAUAGUUUUAAGGUGGAAAGUGAGGCAGGUGUUUUUCUCUGGAUUCUUGAUUAGCCGUGUUGAUGACUAGCCAGUGUCUUAGGAGGGUAUAUAUAGGAAUAUGAAAAGUGCUAAGAAAAGUAAGUUGUUCUUUGCUGUGGUAAUAUCAGUUAUCUCUUUUCGGAUUUUUGUUUCCUUGUUAUGUCAUUUCCUGAUUUGUUUCAGAAGAAAGGAACAAAUAGUCUUACAUGUUAUGAUAGUUCUUUGCAGGUAUUGAUGAUGCUCACCUUUCUCUACUAGUGGUGCUUAGGGAUAAAAGAACUCAACAAACCUUAUCUCUUUUGCAUCAGAAAACCACUUUCUUUCUUUUGCAGCCUUAAUUGGCCAUCUGCGAAAUACAUAUCUCUGUUUUGUGUGCCAGUAUGACAAAAAGGUAAACCAUGCAUGCUGUUUAGUAUAACUUACAAAUUGAUGUAUCGAUUUAUUCCCUAUAUUAUUUACUGAUUGCAUCAAGUAGCUAUUUUGAUCAUCAUUUCCUUGUAAGCUUUUGGAUUAGAUGAACUCAAACUCAUUUUUAUGCAUUUGAGUCUUAAUUUAGUUAGCUUGGAUCAGACUUCAAAGCGAACCAACGUAUUCGUGGAAUAUAUCCUCGAGCUUCAUUAAUUUGUGCAUCACUUUGCUGGUUUUCUUAGCAUAUCAUUUGUAAAGGAACAAGAAAGCCCCCAAAAUGAUUUGUACAAGAAUAUAAAUGUUUUUUUCCCUAGCAGAUGAUCACACUUCGAUGCAUGAGUAGAACAUUUAGCAGAGAACAUUGGAGCAGAAUUUAAGAUAAUGAACAUUCGAGCAGAAUUAAGACAUCUAAUGAUAAAAACGACUAAAUGAUUAUUUGAUCAGCGAUUGUUCUGAUUCAAGGGGUCAGCAUGGGAACUAUUACCCCCUCGCUACACGCCGGUUGAAUCAAAAGAAUAUUACUCCCUAAACAAAAUGACAAAGAAUGAGAAAAAUUAGUCCCUUUCAAACAAAUUCUCCCAUACAACUUACAACCAUUUAGCUAUUCAACUUGGAAAUUAUGGAAGUGAUGAGAACUGAUGCAAGAGAGAUGGUGUUUCAGUGCCACUGACAAAAUGAACAUGGAUAAUUGUCAUCCCUCUUUGUGAAUGAUAAUGUUUCUUUUCCUACUUUAAGCAAAACCAAUCCCACUUGUACAAACAGAUUGAGAAAGAGAGCUGAAUAAAUGGGUAUUUUUUCGAAACUCAUCUGGUGCUCUUUGUGCUUUGACUAGUACUACAUUGUUCCCUUAGUUUAGAACAAGCAGUGCAAGUUUGCGGUUAUCUCACUAUAGGUCCUAAGAGUGGGGGGGGGGGGUGUUAUUUAUUUUCCUAUCUUCUUUUGUCAACGUGUUUAUUCAAACUCAACAAACUUAUAUAUGCAAGUUCAGUCAAUAUUUCUUUACCCUCAGGAGUUGGUCGACUUGGACUAAAGUCUGAGCCAAAUGAGUAAACUCUGCCUUGUGUGCUAAUAUCUCUGCAUUAUGUUGCUAGGUGUGAAUUACAUGAGGAUAUCCAUAAGAGAGAAAAAUUCAAGAAUUUGAUUAUCACUCUAGGAUGAGGGGAAAAAAGAGAUCUUGAUGAUCACGCACACUGGCAUUAGGACUUGACUACAAUUGCUUUGGCAUCACUAGCAAAAUUCAGAUUUUCAGAAAUAAGUAUCCAUUAUUACUAUUAAUCCUGAAGAGAAACUCGUAAAGAUACCUAGUAAUUAAAUAUAUGAUGCCAAUGUCAUCUUAAUACAUUUUAUAUCAUCAAAAUCUAAUAGAUGUUAAAUAAUAGAAUCUACUGCUGGCAUAUACUGGUAAUCUGCACUAAUGUGUUUGAGUUCUUGGAUUCGUUCUAGGGGAAAUUCAUGGGGCUAAGAUAAUCCAAUCAUCUGAUGAUAUAUCAGUUUAUUUAACUAGGUGAUUGUUAAGUAUCGUGCUACAGAUAAACCUUAAUUGAAAUCGAAUUGAAAUAAUGUUUCUUUUUCAUCCUUUACCAGUGAUGAAUUUUAUGUCCUUUUAUACUUAUCCCCAAGAAUUCUAAAAAGAGGCACAAGUAGUGUUCUCACAAGAAUUCAUUUCAUCAUUAAUACUUGUCACUGCAGCUUGCAAAUCCCUGGGAAAGGGAAGGGGAACAGAGAGUAAUUUAUGAAUGAUAUAAUGUUGCAUCCCUACUACUUUCGUACUGUUAGUUUUCUCAGAAAAGAUGGAUGAUGUAAAAGGAAAACGGAAUACGGAGCCAGGCCUAUUAUAGAAGCUAUGAAUCAUGGUGAUCCAAGAAAAUGAAUGGUCCAACUGAAAGAUGGUCCUGUCCAUAGGAUCCUGACAGUUCAGCUUUGGAAGCAAAAUACAAGUUAGCAUAGGAGGAAUAAAUAGGAGUUAUCUUGAUAAGAAUAUGGAGUGUAAGCUUAGUCUUUUUGCCACCCCUUCCAUUAAAAAAGGCACUUAAGGUUCUGUAGAUCCACUUUGACUGAUAUUCCUAGCAUUGUACUCUUGAUGAUAUUUAGCACCAGAAUUAUAGAGGAAAGAAGUUGCUAAAGUUAAAGGUAUAUUCCAUAAAUUGAACAGCGCUCUGUUGUUAUUUGGACAAAAUUGCAACUGAUCUGGAGCUUUUUCUUUUUCUCCUUUUAACCAAAGUUAAUGGACUAUCUUGUUCUCAAAUUUCUGCAAAUGGAGUAUGAUUGUUACUAGCUUAACUAGGAGGAAGAAAUCCAUUCUGGCUUGAACAAUUUUAUGCUAUUUGAUUGCAUGUACCAGAGUUCAUGUUCCAAUUUUACUAAAUUUAACAUUAGAUUGUGCUUCCUUUUAGGGAUGAAUACUUCAGAGGAUGAGGGACAUAGUAAAUGAUCAAUCUUUUGAAAGAGGAUGAAGCCAAAAUAAACUAUCAAAGUGUCCAUGUCACAGUUCAAUAAUCUUGGGAAAUUGCAGAAACAAUUUAUGCUCGGUAAAGCUUUGAUCAUUACAAGCAGUUCUCUCAUCACUUGGACUAUUAUUUGAAAAAAGAUAGAACAAAAUAUGAAGUUGGUGAGUCUUCCUUUCUUUAUUCCUUCCACACUGUCAUCAUCAAUGAUCUUAAUCUCAGUUGAUCCUGCAAAUGGAUGAUAAUAAUAUAACCAGUAAGAACUCAAAAGUGCAUGUAGUUGAAGAAUUACACGAAAAGUGAAAAUCAUCUUGAAAACCAGAAAAUAAAUCUUACAUGUCACAGUUGACGCUCUUAGAGACAGUAAUGUCCAGUGUUACACCACACUUGUUAGGGAGAGCCUGGGCAGCAUCUUCCUUCAAGUUUGCAUACCGGUUUGCAGCAGCCUUGACACAAUUACAUGCGGCCCUCUUGUCAGCAGUGUUUUGAGCCAUACCUUUCAAUGCCGUCACACCAAUACAGCAAGCUGCACUUGGAUCACCACCCUGAGUAAGGUAAGGGAUACAUGGUGCUAAAGAAGCAUCCACUUGACCACAAGUAAGAGCCUGUCCUGGCUCAACCAUGAACUGAAUCAUGGCCAACACUGCAAUUGCUGAAAUGAUGAUUCCCUUCAUAUUCGCUUUCUGUUGAAAACUUGAAGUUCUUGGAUUACUAGUUUUCUUUUCUUGGUUCUCCCUGUGGACUGGUAUAGUUGAAGGCAUAGAAGGGGAUAUAUAUAGUAUUCUCAAGAUGGCUAAUAAAAGAAAGGUCAGUUAAUGGCUUAUGUAAAAUCUGUUACACGAUUUUGGCCUUUUCCCUUUCUUAUGUCAUGGAUAAUCAAUUAGAAGAUGAAAGUGAUGGGGUCAAAACUGUUUUCCUUGCAGCUGUGAUGUUUCCUGCAGUUGUUGUACUGUGUUCUGGGCAUGUAUAUGAACUGAAGAAUCUUAUCCUCAUUGAUUGCAGAAAAUUACACUUCCAGGCAUUUCCUUAUUUUAAAAAAUGUUAGGUUGAUAUUACUAAAAUGCAUCUGUCCUCCAAAAUUUGACAAUAGUUAAGAUACCUAUUUCAAAUUGCCAGUCUCAACAGCUAGACAUAAGGGAUGUUGUCCUAACUCUGUACAGCAGUUGAAAGUAACAUGGCCUGGAUAUGGUGUAAUGUAAUAAUGAUUACUGAUUAUGAUGAUCUUACUGAACAACUCUAAUAUGUUAUUUAUCUGCGGGGAGGGGACUAUCUAAUAAGGAAUCUGAGCAUCAGUGGCGGAGGCAGGAUCACCGCUAAGGGGGUUCAAAAAGAAAAAAGUUAAAAAAGAUUGUAGCUAGUAGGAAUUGAACCUAUGACCUUACAAAGGUUUUGAACCCGCUUGACCACUAAGCUACACUUUUGAGCUAUGUCACGGGGAUAUAUAUAGAGGUAAAAAACAGAUUUUGCCUUAUAUAUACAGUGUAAUUCGGCCCCCUUCUGCCCCUGCUGAGCAUCUAACCCAAAACCUUAAGGCAAUAGGGUGGAGCAGCCCAGGUCCUUUUAAACCACUUUGGAAACUAUUACAACAACCGAGAGGAUAGGUGUAACAUUCUCUAAUGUCUGAGUAGUACAAGGAGGUGCUGUUAGAGCUCCUCUCACCCUUUCUUAUUGUUAUUCUUUCUUCUUUUUUUUCCUGAGAUUUUCCCAGUUCAAACAUUUUGGUAUAGUUUUGAGCUCCUUUACAAAAUUGCUAUAUUUGGCCUUCUUGUAAUGUGGAUUUCUCUUUGAAGCUUUGUAUUUCCAAGUCAACUUUGUGGACAUGCGAAAACAUGCUAGAAUAACUUAGUCUUUAUCAUUUCCAUUACAAAUGUGCUAGUCAUCUAACUUCGACGGAUCCAUGUUGUGCAAAGAGAGUUCAAUUGAAUUCGCUAAGUAAAAAAAAACUACUCUUUGCAUAGAUUAUGUUUAGAAAUACAAAUAUGUGAAAUAUAUAAUUUGACAUUAGGGCGGUGUCUGUAGAGAUGCUCUGGCAGGUUCAAGGUUUACUUUCAGGUUUCUUGUCAAAUUCUUUUAUAUAAAUAUAGUUUUGAGGAGGAAAUCAUUUUAACCUUUGUGGAUUAGAUAGUUUGAUAUUGAAAUAAUAAAAUUAUUUAGGAAACUUAGCAUUUGACUUUGUUUAGUUUAUUAUUAGGUUGAAACUGGAGUUCCUUAUGGUUAGAGCCAGUAAGCAUUACAAAUUAGUGAUGAGAACGAAAAAAUUAGUAAUGUUUAUAUAAUAAAUUAUUAAUUCGUGAAAUAGUGCGAUUUUAGAAAGAAAUUGUUGUGAGAUCAUUUAUCAUGACUGAUACCUCAUUCUGUCCUUUUCCUCCUCUACAUUUAAUUGACGUUUAUGAGAAAAUAAGUGGAGGACUAAAGCAGUUGCAUCUGAGGUUAGCUGUUAGCUCGGUGAUGUUUUUGUGAUUAAGGAAGACUUUUAUAUUAGUUUGGAAUUUCCAUUUCUUUUACAUGUCAAUCAUAUAUAUGUUUCCAGUGGCAUUUGUCUAUUUCUGAGUGAUAUAGACGAAUUCCGGAACACCUUAUCUUCUUUAGUUGCAGUUUGUCUGGCUGAGAGCCUUAGACUGCUUUGUCUACAAGUACAAUGGACAAAUUUAAAGGAUGAGUAUAGUGUCAAGCCAAAUCUUGGUUAUGGAAAAACAAUAUACUGUAUGAUUUAACUAACUGCAUUAGAUGAGAUUUGCAGUAACUGCUGAUAGAUUUUGAUCAAAUUCAAGAAUGCAUCACUUGGCAAGUUGGCAAAUAUACAUUCUUUAGCAACUGAUCUUACUUGGAAUAUAUUGGAUUGGGUGGUCUUUAAAGACAGGAGCUUCUUGCAACUUAAAAGUUGAUCAAAUGAUGUUUCCUUGAUGUGCCAAAUAGGAUUGGAGAGCAGUUCGUAAAUUCUUUAAGUUGGUUUAGUCGUUUUUUUGCUCAUUAAUGUCUUGAAUCCCAACCUUUAUGACCCACAAGAGAAAGAAGGCUAACGCAUUGGCAUUGAACUGGAUGUUUCUCAUAGCAAGUUACCUGCCUUAUUUUUCAGGUUAAUAAUCCUAUUUAUUAUGGACUGUCACCUGUAGUUAUUUUUAUACUGUAAGUGUAUAGAAGUUAAACUUAAGGCAUUGAACUAGAUGCCUGUCGAUAUCGCAGAACAACUUUUGUCUUUCCAAAGUUAUAUAUGUAGUUCAUACAGCCGUGUAUGCUUUUAUUGACUCUGCAGUAUGAAAUGCGCAUUGGCAUAAUUGUCCAGAGAGGACAAAAGAGAGUAUUGUAUUGUAUUAUUAUAAUAUCUCAAAGAUUCUUAUACAUCAAAAUAAGUAGAUAAGGUAAAACUUGGUUCCAUGUAUUUCUGGUAUGAUCAGCCUGGCACAUUUCUGGCUGCAAUGAAUCACUUCAGUUGAUUCUGCAAAAAGAAACAAGUCAGAAUGUGCAAUAACACUAAUUGAGAUGUAUAAUCAUAUGAUAAUAAGCUUACAUGUCACAGUUGAUAGUACGAGAGACGGGAAUAUCCAUUGUAACACCACAUUUGCUAGGGAGAGCCUGAGCAGCAUCAUCCUUCAGAUUUGCAUAUCGGUUGGCAGCAGCCUUGACACAAUUGCAGGCUGUCCUUCUAUCAGCUAUAGAUUGAGCCAUAACUUUCAAGUCUUUCACUCCGUUACAACACGCAGUUCCAGGUUCGCCACCCUGAGUAAGGUAAGGGACACAAGGUGCUAAAGAAGCAUCCACUUGACCACAGGUAAGAGCCUGUCCUGGCUCAACCAUGAGCUGAAUCAUGACUAACACUGUAAUCACUGAAAUGAUGAUACCCUUCAUCUUUCUUGUGUGUGGAAUAUUUCAAGGUUAGGCUUGUUUGCUUCUUUAGCUCCUUUGUUGUUUUUGGGAUGUUA
rnacentral:lncRNA from 1 species